CGAACGGGUGAGUAACGCGUGAGGAACCUGCCUCAAAGAGGGGGACAACAGUCGGAAACGACUGCUAAUACCGCAUAAGCCCACGGCUCGGCAUCGAGCAGAGGGAAAAGGAGCAAUCCGCUUUGAGAUGGCCUCGCGUCCGAUUAGCUAGUUGGUGAGGUAACGGCCCACCAAGGCGACGAUCGGUAGCCGGACUGAGAGGUUGAACGGCCACAUUGGGACUGAGACACGGCCCAG
rnacentral:rRNA from 1 species